rnacentral:rRNA from 1 species
CCAGGCGAGAAAACUUUGCAAUGUGCGAAAGCACGACAAGGUUAAUCCGAGUGGUUUGUGCCAAACGAACCUUUUGUCGGUCCUAGAAACACCGAUGAAUAAGGGGUGGGCAAGUUCUGGUGUCAGCCGCCGCGGUAAAACCAGCACCUCAAGUGGUCAGGAUGAUUAUUGGGCCUAAAGCAUCCGUAGCCGGCUCUGUAAGUUUUCGGUUAAAUCUGUACGCUCAACGUACAGGCUGCCGGGAAUACUGCAGAGCUAGGGAGUGGGAGAGGUAGACGGUACUCGGUAGGAAGGGGUAAAAUCCUUUGAUCUAUUGAUGACCACCUGUGGCGAAGGCGGUCUACCAGAACACGUCCGACGGUGAGGGAUGAAAGCUGGGGGAGCAAACCGGAUUAGAUACCCGGGUAGUCCCAGCUGUAAACUAUGCAAACUCAGUGAUGCAUUGGCUUGUGGCCAAUGCAGUGCUGCAGGGAAGCCGUUAAGUUUGCCGCCUGGGAAGUACGUACGCAAGUAUGAAACUUAAAGGAAUUGGCGGGGGAGCACCACAAGGGGUGAAGCCUGCGGUUCAAUUGGAGUCAACGCCAGAAAUCUUACCCGGAGAGACAGCAGAAUGAAGGUCAAGCUGAAGACUUUACCAGACAAGCUGAGAGGAGGUGCAUGGCC